CUAAUGGUAUUUUGUUCUUGCUCUGUCUUCUCAUCUCUUUCCAGUCUGCUAGUGCUCUGAGCAGAGUGUGUGUGGUCUCUCUGCAGCCAUCCAGAAGGAGAGAAUUAGUGGUCUUCUUCAUGACAUGAUUAAAGAAAAAGCAGGCAUGUAAAAUAAAUACAAAUUUACUGGGUUAUGAACAUUGUCAUUGGGAAUUGAAACAAAAUUCAAAUUUUAAAUUAGUAUUUAAAAAUCUACCCCUCCAUAGAUGAAAAAAAACCAACAGAAAAUUAACGAGAUAUUCUGUAGAGGGUCAGAUCUGUUUCGCAUCAGUUUCUCAGGGCUCUCUGGAGAAGAAAAGUCCCCGGAGGUGAGGGGAAUCUUAGCCGCCAAAACAAGUCUGUGGCAGGGCCUGGAGGUAUCUGUGAGUCUCACAAGAUAGUGCUGGCUGGGAAUAGAGUAUUUCCAAGUAAGCAGUGCUUUAUUGUGUGCCAUGCUGCAAAUACUUUUGCUGUUCUGAUCUUACCAAACUGUAAACUAUUCUCUUUUCUGCUCCUGGGGGAUCUCGCAAAGGAGAAUUAUAAACAAACAAACUAAACCCUUCUCUUUGUUCCUGUGUCCUCUGAUUCUUCAGUGAAGUUCUCCUUUGAAGAAGAGGCCUGAACUGCACCUGAAUGGGUGGAAUUAGUCUAAACUAGUGAGAAUGGCCCUAUUUCUAUUUAGAAAAAAAAAAAAUAAGGUCAGUCAAAAGUACUUUCAUUUAAAAAAACAAACCCCACAUUUAUGCAACAACAAAAUC